CAUUUUUAACAAAGACUAACCUCAAACCGUAAUCAUUCUACCAAAGACUGGCCUCCCUUGUUUCCCCUUCCUCUCUUUUUUCUCUCAUCCUCUCACACCGUGCUAUCUCACAAACCUAGAACUAGAUCGUGCAAAGUCACUCAAAGACAACUAAGAGCUUCAUCAUUUCUCUCUUUCAACCGCGAAUCUAGUCAAGCCUACCUUAUUCAUCAUCCAAUUUGGAAUCUCAAUCCUCGAAACCCUAAUCCUAGAUGAGAAAGGGCGAGAACCUAGUCAUUCCCCUCCUUUGCUCGUUCAAAUCGACACAUGCAACUACAGAUCUAUGAGAUCUUUGAUAUCACCAUGACAGUUCUUAGUCCAAAGGUCUAUCGCAGUGACCAAUGGAUUUUGGUUUUAACUGGUGGGCCAUUUGGCUUCAACGGCGAAUUCAUUCAUCAUUUCGAAUAGGUGGUUCCAUAGCAGGCGGCAUCGAUCAGUGAUAGCAGUACACCCUCUUCUCAGCUGACUUGGUGAAGCCCACUGAAUAUCGGGGUCUUGUGUCUUUUGUUCCUAAUGUAUAGUGUUUUGAGGUAUAGCCAGGGCCAUGUUGCCGGCACCAUCAUUACUCUUUUGUAUCCAUCAGAGGUUCCGUAGACAUAGUGUGAGUUAUAUUUUUAGUUGGGUAAAAGUCAAACCUGAAAAGUUCUACUUGUAACACAUGUUUCCACUUCUAAACUAUGAAUAUGUAAUGUAUUUUGAGAAUUGCAAAUGAAGUAACUAGUGAUAAUGAAAUUGGUGUUAUUCAUGAAA